rnacentral:tRNA from 1 species
UCCGGCGUAGCUCAGUUGGCAGAGCGGGUGACUGUUAAUCACUAGGUCCGUGGUUCGAGCCCACGCGCCGGAG